UUCCAGACUCCUACGGGAGGCAGCAGUGGGGAAUAUUGCACAAUGGGGGAAACCCUGAUGCAGCGACGCCGCGUGAGCGAUGAAGUAUUUCGGUAUGUAAAGCUCUAUCAGCAGGGAAGAAGAUGACGGUACCUGACUAAGAAGCCCCGGCUAACUACGUGCCAGCAGCCGCGGUAAUACGUAGGGGGCAAGCGUUAUCCGGAUUUACUGGGUGUAAAGGGAGCGUAGACGGCGAUGCAAGCCAGAUGUGAAAGCCCGGGGCUCAACCCCGGGACUGCAUUUGGAACUGUGUGGCUGGAGUGUCGGAGAGGCAGGCGGAAUUCCUAGUGUAGCGGUGAAAUGCGUAGAUAUUAGGAGGAACACCAGUGGCGAAGGCGGCCUGCUGGACGAUGACUGACGUUGAGGCUCGAAAGCGUGGGGAGCGAACAGGAUUAGAUACCCCAGUAU
rnacentral:rRNA from 1 species